UACGGAGGGGGCAAGCGUUAUUCGGAAUCAUUGGGCGUAAAGGGCGCGUAGGCGGCUUGGCAAGUCAAAGGUGAAAUCCCUCGGCCCAACCGAGGAACUGCCUUUGAUACUGCCUCGCUUGAGGCCGGGAGAGGGUAGCGGAAUUCCCAGUGUAGCGGUGAAAUGCGUAGAUAUUGGGAGGAACACCAGUGGCGAAGGCGGCUACCUGGACCGGUUCUGACGCUGAUGCGCGAAAGCUAGGGGAGCAAACAGG
rnacentral:rRNA from 1 species